UGGGGAAUAUUGCACAAUGGGCGGAAGCCUGAUGCAGCAACGCCGCGUGAGUGAUGAAGGCCUUCGGGUUGUAAAGCUCUGUCUUUUGGGACGAUAAUGACGGUACCAAAGGAGGAAGCCACGGCUAACUACGUGCCAGCAGCCGCGGUAAUACGUAGGUGGCAAGCGUUGUCCGGAUUUACUGGGCGUAAAGGAUGCGUAGGCGGAUUUUUAAGUGAGAUGUGAAAUACCCGGGCUUAACUUGGGUGCUGCAUUUCAAACUGGGAAUCUAGAGUGCGGGAGAGGAGAAUGGAAUUCCUAGUGUAGCGGUGAAAUGCGUAGAGAUUAGGAAGAACACCAGUGGCGAAAGGCGAUUCUCUGGACCGUAACUGACGCUGAGGCAUUGAAAGCGUGGGUAGCAAACAGGAUUAGAUACCCUGGGUAGUCCACGCCGUAAACGAUGAGUACUAGGUG
rnacentral:rRNA from 1 species